AUUGAACGCUGGCGGCGUGCCUAACACAUGCAAGUCGAGCGGGGUGCAGCAAUGCACCCAGCGGCGAACGGGUGAGUAACGCGUGGAUAACCUACCCCUAUGCCUGGGAUAACACUUCGAAAGAGGUGCUAAUACCGGAUAAUCCAUAGCCGACAGAAGUCAGAUAUGGCAAAGGCGGUGUAAGCCGUCACAGAGGGAAGGGUCCGCGUCCCAUUAGCUAGUUGGCGAGGUAAGAGCUCACCAAGGCGACGAUGGGUAGCCGGCCUGAGAGGGUGACCGGCCACACUGGGACUGAGACACGGUCCAGACUCCUACGGGAGGCAGCAGUGGGGAAUAUUGCACAAUGGAGGGAACUCUGAUGCAGCGACGCCGCGUGAGUGAAGAAGGUCUUCGGAUCGUAAAACUCUGUCCUUGGUGAAGAAAAGGACGGUAGCCAAGGAGGAAGCCCCGGCUAACUACGUG
rnacentral:rRNA from 1 species